AUUUCACCUGAGAUAAAAGCAAAGGGAAGAAUUCUUAAUAAUGAAGGAAACAUAUUUUAAAACCAAUACCACUCCUCUUUUUUUUUCCCCAACCUGUCAUCAAAAAACUGUUUGGCUUCAUUUUAUGUGAUGCUAGUUGGCUAGAGUCAAGCAUUCAUUGGGGGAAUAUGCAGGUUAAGCGAGUCCAGUGCAGCUGCCUUGGCUCAUCCAUGCCUGCGUGCAAACACCUAUAAUGCCUGGAGUUAAGGAAACAAAAUCCCCCACUUCUGUGAAUCUCCAGCUAAAGGCACUAAAGGCAACCUUCACCUCCCCCCAAGGACAACACAGGUCAAGGGAGAGAAUGUUGUUGAACCACACUGAAUUUGAUUCAAAAGUCAACACCCUUUUCAAAAAUGUAAAAAAUUUUGCUUGCUUUAAAUAUCUACCAGGCACUGAAUGGGUGGGUCAUUGGCGACUCUCCAGGACCACCUAGUCUCUGACUACCACCCAGGGUUCUGCAUAGUUAUUAAUAACAGGACGAGGAGGCUCUGAUGUUCAAACUCGUCCCUGAAACGCAGCAAGACCUCUCAGCUUCAAAUCCCCAGCCCGACUUCAUGAAUUUUAUUUAUGCAUUCAUUUAUUUGUGUGAUGUCUGGUGCCGAGCCGCGGAUGAAAAAUUAAAACGUAAAUUCAUCAGCAGGACCCAGAGCAGAGCUGGAUUAAAAUUUGAACUCCUGAACUUCGAGGCCCCUCCUGCCACAGAGAAAACAAGAGCAUCAGCUGAGCUCCACAAACAAAGGAAGAGCUUCUCUCUCCUCCCACAACAACAGGCGAAAAGGCAGACCUGAGAACACUCAGGCUCCAAAUGUCACUCACAACAUCCCAAACCAAAACAAAAGCAAUGCGCCAAACAGCCACACAAACAGAGGCGGGCGGGACAGGCUUCUAGUAAGCCCUGGUCAGUUGCCAAAAUUGGCUUCUGGCUGCUGGCCCUGCGGGAAUUACGUAAUUCCCAGAUAAGGGCCCUCAACUUCAAAUUUCAUCCUCUCAUCUUAGACUUUUACUCUGAAGAGCUGGCAGCAAAAAUAGAGCCCUUUUCCUGGGGCACCAACUUCGGACAGUGCUCUUCCUCAGCUCAGAAUACUUUCCCUGCUCACCCUUCUGAUGGAUUCUCUUGGGAUUAUCCAGAUUUGAAUGUGUCCUCUGAGUGCUGCUGGGACC
ensembl:lncRNA